ACCCAAAAACAUCAAGAAAAGCCUUUCAAUAAAUUGCUUUUUUCUUGGCGGAAAAGAGGGAAAAAUGGUGGGGAGAAGGGUCCCGGAACUUAUGUUUCAGGCCCUUCUUUUUCCUUUUUUUUUUACUUUUUUCCUCCCGGAAAAUAAUUUUUCAGGACCAAUUACCGUAGUUGCGACUACACCAAUUGUUGUUCAUACCCCUACGAUUUACUUUUUGAAAACUAGUUUUUGGGAUAAUAAAGUUGUAAAAUUCCCUUUUUCCACCCCAAUUUGUAUUUCAUUCGUUACAAAAUUGGGACUAACAUUAAGGGCGACAGUU
rnacentral:ncRNA from 24 species